CAAACAUAUCUAUGUGCCGUUUGACAGCGGAGAUAUAAAUAUAACCACCGCGUAAACACCUCCUUCUCCCAACUCCAAACCACAGGCGACGUGUUUCGUGGUGACCGCCCUUCCCCACCUCUUGUUCAUGGCCUCCUUCUCCUGGAUGCUGAUGGAGGGCCUGCUGCUGUGGAGCAAGGUGGUGUCAGUGAGGACCGCCGGAUGAAGCUCUACUACGUCAUCGGCUGGGAGCGCCCGGAGACACAGAAGGACGCUUUCAGACCGGCCGGCAUCAUUUCCUCCGAUAAGUGGAGACCGACGGCUUUGGAGAAGUUUGAUCUCAGACCAACUGGUUUUAGACCACUUUUGACUGACAGCGUCUGUAAACGGUGCAGGAGCAGUGAUUAAAAACAGCAAAGAAGUGCUUUAACAUCUCAGUGCUGCACAGAUCUGUAUUUUAAAAUUAAAGGCAGGUGAAUUUACUGGUAAUUUCUAAUAUUUAUUAGUAAUUGUCGAGAACACUGCUCAGCUGAAUGAGAUGAGAAACCUGCUGUUGACCCCACAGCUUGAGAUCACCGACCUCGCAACGAGACAACAAUGCUCCAAAAAUAGGGCACUAUUCUACGCGGGCAUUUAUAUAAUUUUACACAGUGCUUUUAUAUAAGACAUAACAUAAGUUAAAUAAGAAAUAAGAUAAUAAUUUAAAACCAAAAUGGAAUUAUGCAAACUGAGAAAAUAAAAAAAGAGGGAAGGACUAAAGGGAAAAAGCUGCAGGGAUUUGAGAUUUCUUCUGGUGUUCAUUAUGCAAAAAAUAAUACCAUUAAAGCUGUGUGUUUAACAAACCACUGCAAGCACAUAUGGACGCAAUUAAACGUUCUUAUUUA